rnacentral:rRNA from 1 species
UGGCGGCGUGCCUAAUACAUGCAAGUCGAGCGAACGGACGAGAAGCUUGCUUCUCUGAUGUUAGCGGCGGACGGGUGAGUAACACGUGGAUAACCUACCUAUAAGACUGGGAUAACUUCGGGAAACCGGAGCUAAUACCGGAUAAUAUUUUGAACCGCAUGGUUCAAAAGUGAAAGACGGUCUUGCUGUCACUUAUAGAUGGAUCCGCGCUGCAUUAGCUAGUUGGUAAGGUAACGGCUUACCAAGGCAACGAUGCAUAGCCGACCUGAGAGGGUGAUCGGCCACACUGGAACUGAGACACGGUCCAGACUCCUACGGGAGGCAGCAGUAGGGAAUCUUCCGCAAUGGGCGAAAGCCUGACAGAGCAACGCCGCGUGAGUGAUGAAGGUCUUCGGAUCGUAAAACUCUGUUAUUAGGGAAGAACAUAUGUGUAAGUAACUGUGCACAUCUUGACGGUACCUAAUCAGAAAGCCACGGCUAACUACGUGCCAGCAGCCGCGGUAAUACGUAGGUGGCAAGCGUUAUCCGGAAUUAUUGGGCGUAAAGCGCGCGUAGGCGGUUUUUUAAGUCUGAUGUGAAAGCCCACGGCUCAACCGUGGAGGGUCAUUGGAAACUGGAAAACUUGAGUGCAGAAGAGGAAAGUGGAAUUCCAUGUGUAGCGGUGAAAUGCGCAGAGAUAUGGAGGAACACCAGUGGCGAAGGCGACUUUCUGGUCUGUA